rnacentral:rRNA from 1 species
GACGAACGCUGGCGGCGUGCUUAACACAUGCAAGUCGAACGGAAAGGCCCUGCUUUUGUGGGGUGCUCGAGUGGCGAACGGGUGAGUAACACGUGAGUAACCUGCCCUUGACUUUGGGAUAACUUCAGGAAACUGGGGCUAAUACCGGAUAGGAGCUCCUGCUGCAUGGUGGGGGUUGGAAAGUUUCGGCGGUUGGGGAUGGACUCGCGGCUUAUCAGCUUGUUGGUGGGGUAGUGGCUUACCAAGGCUUUGACGGGUAGCCGGCCUGAGAGGGUGACCGGCCACAAUGGGACUGAGAUACGGCGCAGACUCCUACGGGAGGCAGAAGUGGGGAAUAUUGCAGAAUGGGCGGAAGCCAGAUGCAGCAACGCCGCGUGCGGGAUGACGGGCUUCGGGUUGUAAACCGCUUUCGCCUGUGACGAAGCGUGAGUGACGGUAAUGAGUAAAGAAGCACCGGCUAACUACGUG